rnacentral:rRNA from 1 species
UACGAGAGGCGCAAACGUUAUUCGGAAUUACUGGGCUUAAAGAGUUCGUAGGCGGCGCAGAAAGUAGGGUGUGAAAGCCCUCGGCUUAACCGAGGAAUUGCGCUCUAAACUACUGUGCUUGAGGGACCUAGAGGUGAGCGGAACUGAUGGUGGAGCGGUGAAAUGCGUUGAUAUCAUCAGGAACACCGGAGGCGAAGGCGGCUCACUGGGGGUCUUCUGACGCUGAGGAGCGAAAGCGUGGGGAGCGAACAGG